UACGAUAGGGGCAAGCGUUAUUCGGAAUUAUUGGCGUAAAGGGCGCGUAGCGGCUUGGCAAGUGAUGGGUGAAAUCCCUCGGCUUAACCGAGGAACUGCCCAUCAAACUGCUUGGCUGAGGCCGGGAGAGGGCGAGUGGAAAUUCCCAGUGUAGCGGUGAAAAUGCGUAGAUAUUGGGAGGAACACCAGUGGCGAAGGCG
rnacentral:rRNA from 1 species